rnacentral:rRNA from 1 species
CACGUAGUUAGCCGGUGCUUAUUCUUCCGGUACCGUCAUCCCCCGACUGUAUUAGAGCCAAGGAUUUCUUUCCGGACAAAAGUGCUUUACAACCCGAAGGCCUUCUUCACACACGCGGCAUUGCUGGAUCGGGCUUUCGCCCAUUGUCCAAAAUUCCCCA